AUGUGCUACAUUUGUUGGGGGGGGGGGGGCACCGUGCACCGUGGAGGAGAAUGGCAGAUUGUUGUUGGCUGGAGCUUCCCUUCAGGCUUAACUUACUGCUUUAGUUACCAACUUUGACAGAAGUAGAUAGGAUCGAUGCACCCACCGCAUAGAGCUCAAUGAAGCUCGUCAAUCCAGCAAUACAUGGCAUCGGGUAGCGUCGCGACACGUCAACCAACCACGCAGCCACCAUUGUCUUACCUGCUCUAAGCAUGCACUUAACGUUGUUUCAGAUGGAAUGCAUUCAACAUACAUGGUGGAAGAGAGUUGCCCCCAGGCCCCCAGUACUGAACCACGACGUCCACAAUAAGGAGAUGGAGAUCAUCGUCCCAGGGGGUUGAUGAUAUAUCUAUGGAUAUUAUGUUGACUGAUAGCCCAUGGUUCAUCUGAGCUCACUUUGGCGCGAAUGCGGUGAUGAAGGAGAAAAAAGGAAAAAGUUGAUACGGUUUUCCUUGCAGCUCAAUUUUCACACCCUUCCCAGGUUAAUAUUCACUGCUUUCUUUGGACCAACUUUAUGCUGCCUUUUCUCUGCACACACCUCAUCAAAACUGAACCAAGAGGCAUCACAUAGGUUUAGAUGGCGUGUGUGAACAUGGU